rnacentral:rRNA from 1 species
UACGAAGGGGGCUAGCGUUGUUCGGAAUCACUGGGCGUAAAGGGCGCGUAGGCGGCCUGAUAAGUCGGGGGUGAAAGCCUGUGGCUCAACCACAGAAUUGCCUUCGAUACUGUUAGGCUUGAGACCGGAAGAGGUAAGUGGAACUGCGAGUGUAGAGGUGAAAUUCGUAGAUAUUCGCAAGAACACCAGUGGCGAAGGCGGCUUACUGGUCCGGUUCUGACGCUGAGGCGCGAAAGCGUGGGGAGCAAACGGG